ACUGAGCUGCCCACCUGCCCCAGCGGUGCAGGACCAAGAAUGAGAACUGCAUCAAACUCACUUCUAAGUAAACUGAAUUAAAUAGCAGGAGUGGGAGCCUGGAACAGCUUCCUGUGAUCAGAGCACUUAGCCAGCAUCACUGCCGAUAAGGAAGCACGAGCAGCGCUGCUUUUUAUUCUCUCUUUGUGGGUUUGAUCUUAUUAUAGAAAACAAAUUUACCAAGCAUGAAUUACCACUGAAAUUCUUAAUGCUUUGGCAAAGAAGAAAAGUCAGAUAUGGAUGCUGGCAAAUGCACAUGGCUGCUAGCGAGAAUGCCUCUCCUCUGCACACUUUUGUCUCCCAACUUUCAGCUAGGAGCUGCUGUGCGAAUUAUUUCAAAAGAUGGGCUGCAGAAAAAGGAUCAAUUAAUCUGCCGAGAGAAUUUCAGAAUCCAUUCUCAAUGCCGCUGAUAGCCGGAGACCCCCUCCCUGCGCUUGGUAAUUACCCCAAUAUUUCCUGCACGCUUGUUUAAACGGCUUACACUCGGGCUGCCUGUGAAGAAGAGCUCUCCGUCCGCUGAUCUGAGGCAGGGGAGAAAGGCAGCUCUCCUUAUCGCUCUGCUUCACUCCAUCUGCAGCCAGCGGGGGGGCCGCCUCCUCAUUGUCCCUGGGACAGGGGACGAGCAGGCUGGGGGACGCAGAUAGAUGUGACACCGAAGGAGAGCAGGACUUUCCUACCGUGCCGGUGCCGAAGAAAACUCAUCACGCUCUUGCGGUUUCAAAGGCAAAUAAGGAGCCCCUUUAAACCACAGGCCUGUCCCUUAAUUAUACAAAUGCAGCGAUCAAAGUUAUUAUCUGUCCUUACAAAGGCUGCAGCUUUAAUUGAAUGGUGUGUUGCUACCUUUGAGAGAAAGCGUUCAAUCUUCGUGGAGAGCAAAGGGACAGGAGGGAGAAAAUGGAAAAAAGCGAGGGAGCAAGAGGAAAGGAACAAGAGAAAGGGAUAUGGCAUUUAACAAGUAGGCUGCUUUAUAUGGAAAUGUAAUGAAUACGGUUGAUAAAAAAGGGGAGAGACAAAAAGUUGUGAAGUUUCAAGCUGUGAAAGAACUUCAAAGUGUAUUCAAAUGUCACAUUGAUUUUUCUUCAAAUCACUAAGUAGGAAGUUUUUCAAAAGAGGAAUAUGAUCCCCUAUUUUAUCCACUAAUGCUUUAUCUACAAAAAGGGGAGAAAAAGCGCAGUGUUUUCCUUUCACAUGAUAUAAUCCCUAUAUUGGAAGUCUUUAUCUUUCUUUCCUAACCAAAGAUUUCUUUGGUGUUUUCGAGAUUUGUGACGUCUUCGCCAUAUUUGCAUAUUGUAAGUUAAAAAGUCUGAAGAAUUUCAGGUCUGAGACCCUGCUCUACAUUGAGCUAAGUGGGGGCAAGCCACACCACAGUGGGACCUCAUUACCACGGUUCUCCAAGCUAAUGAUGGGGCUGCAACCAUACUACUGUAGUCUGAAGAGAAACCAGAGGGUGACAGGCAUUAGGAGCACUGCUGUGUGUAUCUCACAUAGGGCAACCAAGACAUUACGACUUCAUGAAGACCCUGCAGAGCACACCUGCUUCAGGAAACCUGUGAGAUGUCCAGUAUAUUCUGAAUCUGGGGACUCAUAAUUUCUACAGUUCUGAAAAUAAUGGCUCACCAACCACUUCUGAAGAAAAUAUCCUAACUGACCUCUUAUUUCUCUUUUUCUGCUAAAAUGUUUAAUUAUUAUCUGCCAUUAAAUGAAAUCAAGGAGUUUU
ensembl:lncRNA